AGGGGGCUCGGGAGAUAAAAAGACCGACGCUAACUCCGCCCACCUCAGUUACCGACUCUCACUCCGCCCGCCUCGCCCGGUCACAGUCGGUUGAAUCGCUCCGCUGCCGCCGGUGCUCGUACCCGCACACCGAGACGAGGCGAGGGGGUCCAUGUCCAACCACACCGAGGUCGGGACGAAAGCGUCUGGAUGUCUGGAGACAUGAGGCGGGACUUGUGCUCGUUUUAAGCCGGACCGACGACACCGCCGCGCACACCGUCCCGUUCUCACCCGACCCGGCUCGGCUCGGUUCGCUUCUUUUCUCUGCCCUUUGGGGGUUUUUUUGGGGUUCGCUGGUCAAACUUCGGCUCUCUCCGCAGCGGUUCGCUCGCUCACUCACUCGCUCACUCACUCGCUCACCUCUCAGCCGUUACUUUUCACACGGGUUGUCCCGGUUCGACUCUCGGCAGAAAGUGGGAGGCUUUUCCCCCUCUUCUUCUUCUUCUUCUUCUUCUUCUUCUUCUUCUUCCCUUUCCUUUCCUGGGGAGAAAGUAAAACAAAACAAAAAAGAAGAGAAGAAGAAGAAGAAAAGCCGUGGACAUCUGAGCUGAUCCCUGGAAUCAGAGGGAAGUGGUGGCAGCCCGCAGACAGGAUCCUUCACGGUCAGUGGGAUGUGAGAGCUCUGGAAGCGGGACCAGGACUGACUGAAGGAGCAUGGUGAAGCACCAACCCCUCCAGGUCUAUGAGCGCCAGCUGUGUUUGUCAUGUAUCACCGGGAUCUACGGUUGCCGCUGGAAACGCUACCAACGCUCCCACGAUGACACCACCAAGUGGGAGCUGCUGUGGUCCCUCAUCCUCCUCUUUACCUUCUGCCUGCUGCUGGUCUGGUUCUACUUCUGGUGGGAGGCACAUAAUGACUACAAUGAGUUCAACUGGUUCCUGUACAACCGCUCCGGGGAGUGGAGCGAUGGCACCGUUCCCAUCCUGGCAACCACCGCCGCCGGCUUCACCUAUAUUGCAUUUUUAAUGGUUUUAGCACUUUGUCACGUUGCACUUGGGCAACAGUUGAAUUUGCACUGGCUCCAUAAGAUUGGAGUGACUGCUGCUCUGCUCACCACCGUCGCCGGGGUGAUAUCUGUCAAUCAAACAUGGGGACAGGAGUGGGACGUCAUCCCCAUCUCCCUGCAGGCCACAGGUCCCUUCCUGCACAUCGGGGCCGUCGCCGCCGUCACAGCGCUGUCCUGGAUCGUGGCCGGCCAGGUCGCCCGCGCAGAAAAAACAAUGUUCCAGGUGGUCGUCAUGCUGCUGUACCUCAGCGUGUUACUGGGCCUCUACGUGCUGCCCCUCUACAUCACCUCCCCCUGCAUCAUGGAGCCCACCAGCCUCGGACCCCGUCCCGACGUCAUCGGCCGCCAGGGAGCCCCCAUGCUCGCUCCAGAGAACACACUGUGGUCCUUCCAGCGAGCUCUACAGAUGAACGUCACUGGGUUGGAAGCUGACGUGGCUAUCAGUGAGGACGGCGUUCCGUUCCUGAUGCACGACCGGAUGCUGCGCAGGACCACAGACGUGGGGAAGGUUUUCCCCGACAGGCAGACGGAGGAGGCGUCGUUCUUCAACUGGACAGAUCUGCAGCAGCUCAACGCCGGACAGUGGUUCCUCAAGGACGACCCCUUCUGGACGGUGCGCAGCCUGUCGCCGCACGAGAAGACGCUGAUCGCCAACCAGAGCGUGUGCAGCCUGGAGCAGCUCCUGAAGUUGGCCUCCUACCACAACAGCACGGUGGUGUUCAGGCUCCGGAGGCCCCCCGCCGACCACCCCUGUUACUACAGCUGGAUCAACGACACACUGCAGGCCGUGCAGCGCUCCGGGGUUCCUCAGGGCCUGGUGAUGUGGACUCCAGACGAGCACCGGGCUCAGGUGAGGCAGCUGCUACCGGGUCUGAUCCAGACGUCAGUGGAGAAACUGACUCCGCAGAGUCUCCACCGCUCGGGCAUCAGCAGACUGCUGCUCCGAUACAACCAGGCCAACGCUCAGGACAUCAGCGACUUCUCCGAGAGCCACGUCAACCUCACGCUCUACACCGUCAACCAGCCCUGGUUGUUCUCGGUGCUCUGGUGCAGCGGCGUGUCGUCCGUCUCCUCGGAGGCGCCACACGUCCUCAAGAAGGUGCCUUACCCCGUCUGGCUCAUGAGACCAAAUGAAUACUGCCUGAUGUGGGUGUCUGCAGACCUCAUCUCCUUUGCUGUCGUCGUGGGAAUAUUCGUUCUCCAGAACUAUCACAUGAUCAGGUAUCGGAUGAGCGGCAUGCGCAGCUACAACCCGGAGCAGAUCAUGUUGAGCGCCGCCGUCAGGAGGUCGAGUCGAGACAUGAGCGUCAUGAAGGAGAAACUCAUCUUCUCAGGUCAGCCCCAGUAAAACGCUGCCUGCCUCCUCCUCCAUCCUCCGUGUGUGUGAUGUGCACCACCACCUCCUCUCCAUCUCCUCCGCCCACCGAGUGACUCCUUCCUUUUCAUUCCGUGCGUCCGUUGCAUCCCUCGUUACCUACCACCUCUAUGCCUGCUUUCCCCAAACCCUCCUUCAUCCAUUCAUCCGUCUCCUCCCAUCGCUCCUCCCGGUGGAGACGACGCUCUGUGUAGCGGAGAGUUUAUAGACUCCGCUCUGUCUAGACAGCCUCUUGUGCUGCGGGGGUCAAAGAGGUGGGGAACGGAGUCAGCGGCGACGAGCUGUACGCAGACAACGGCUACGACUACUACACCAACCAGGGCGUCGUCAGCCAGUGAGUCCGCCGCGGGGAAGACGGAGACGACGGCGACACUCGAGUGUUCAAAUCCUCACUGUUUUUAUACAACUCCUCCUCCGACGGAGGAAACAAACCCAACGAGUCGCUUCGUGUACAUUGUGUAAAUAUGUUUUUUGUUUGUUUUUUUGGCUUUUGUCAGAUUUACUGUAAUGUCACACGGGACGAAAAACACAACUCUGUUGACGGAAUUCGUUAAAUCUCCUCGAGGUCACUGCUUCUUCUCAAACACGAGUUUCCAGAAACUUCGUUACUUUUCCUUUUUAUCCUUUUAUUGCAGCAUGCGACAAAUGAAAAAUGAAAAAAAAAGAAAAGCUCCUGCCUUCUCUCAGCACUCCGCUCGUGCUGCUGCUGCUGCUGCUGCUGUUCAUAAUAGUGCUGUAACAUUAAUAUUUAUAUUUAAAAAGAGAGAGAGAGUUUACAGAAGAGUCCUCCUGCCUUUCUCCUCCAGGUGAAAUAUUCACACACAUAUGUAAGAUAAUUUUAAAUAAGAGGCCUGAUGAAUGAAACCGCCGCCCCCUCGUCUGAUCGGUGCAUGUUACAGUAAUGAGCGUAACGUGAGUGUGUGUGAGAGUGUGUGUGUGUGUGUGUGAGCUGUGCUCCCGGUGGUGAAAACAGUUUGGGCUGGAGAUUAGUUCUGUCCUUUAAUGGUGAAUGUGAAUAUUAUUUUUUUUUUAAAGAUGUGUAUGGUGUGUUGUGUGCAUCCCGACUGGAUAUGUAUUUUUUUUAUUUUUUUUUACCCCGUGUGCGGUGCGGUGUCGAUUUGUACAUAAAAUGUGAAGCGACGUGAGAAGAAGCUGUUUGAACAAAGUGGAUGAAAUUAAUAAAAUUCCGAACAGUCCGGUCGAUGGAAGUGAUUUGGCUUCCCGCAUGUUGAGUCUGUGCCGACGAACAAAAAGAAAAAAAGACAUCGGGCUGCUCUUUGAGUUCCUGGUGUGAAAAGCUGUAAAUGUAAAGAUGAAGUGGCUACUAAAUGUGAAAGUGAAGCUCCAGGCGACACUGAAGGGAAACUACUGCAGGAAUCAACAGGGUCAAAGACGUCGGUUCUGCCUUUUCUCUUUUUCUUUUACUUUAACUGUGCCUCAGAAAUAAAGAUGGAAAAAACAAAUCUUCAAA